rnacentral:tRNA from 1 species
GGCAGUGUAGUGUUGUGGUUUGAGUGUUGGACUAUGACUCUGGAGACCAGGGUUCAAAUCCCUGCUCAGGCA